GACGAACGCUGGCGGCGUGCUUAACACAUGCAAGUCGAACGGAAAGGCCCUGCUUUGGUGGGGUGCUCGAGUGGCGAACGGGUGAGUAACACGUGGGUGACCUGCCCUGGACUUUGGGAUAACUUCAGGAAACUGGGGCUAAUACCGGAUAGGAGCUCCUGCUGCAUGGUGGGGGGUGGAAAGUUUCGGCGGUUGGGGAUGGACUCGCGGUUUAUCAGUUUGUUGGGGGGGUAGUGGCUUACCAAGGCUUUGACGGGUAGCCGGGCUGAGGGGGUGACCGGACACAUUGGGACAGAGAUACGGCAGAGACCCAUACGGGAGGGAGCAGUGGGGAAUAUUGCAAAAUGGGCGGAAGCCUGAUGCAGCAACGCCGCGUGCGGGAUGACGGCCCUCGGGUUGUACACCGCUUUCGCCUGUGAAGACGCGUGAGUGACGGUAAUGGGUAAAGAAGCACCGGCUAACUACGUG
rnacentral:rRNA from 1 species